UGUAACUUGCGAUAAGCCCCGGUGAGCCAGUACACAGGCUAUGACCCGAGGAUUUCCGAAUGGGGAAACCCGACAUUUAUGUCACCACUUUUGUGGAGCAAACCCGGAGAACUGAAACAUCUUAGUACCCGGAGGAAAAGAAAUCAAUCGAGAUUCCGUUAGUAGUGGCGAGCGAAAGCGGAACAGCCCUUAAGCUAUAUUUUGUCUAGUAGAAUGUUAUGGAAAGAACAGCCAUAGUAGGUGAUAGCCCUGUAUACGAAAGACUUAUUAUAGUGAAAUCGAGUAGGUCGGAACACGUGAAAUUUUGACUGAAUAUGGGAGGACCAUCUUCCAAGGCUAAAUACUCCUAGAUGACCGAUAGUGAACAAGUACCGUGAGGGAAAGGUGAAAAGUCCCCCUGUUAGGGGAGUGAAAUAGUACCUGAAAUCUUUAGCAUACAAUCAGUCAGAGCCCUUCGGGGUGAUGGCGUACCUUUUGUAUAAUGGGUCAGCGACUUAAUUUCAGUAGCAAGCUUAACGCAAGGUAGGCGUAGGGAAACCGAGUCUUAAAUGGGCGAUUUAGUUGCUGGAAUUAGACCCGAAACCAAGCGAUCUAUCCAUGGUCAGGUUGAAGUGUGAGUAACAUCACAUGGAGGACCGAACCCACUUAUGUUGAAAAAUGAGGGGAUGAACUGUGGAUAGGGGUGAAAGGCCAAUCAAGCUUGGAGAUAGCUGGUUCUCUCCGAAAACUAUUUAGGUAGUGCCUCUUGUAUUACCAAUGGGGGUAGAGCACUGUUUCGGCUAGGGGGUCAUCCCGACUUACCAAACCGAUGCAAACUCCGAAUACCAUUGAGUAUUAGCAAGGGAGACAGACUGCGGGUGAUAACGUCCGUGGUCGAAAGGGAAACAACCCAGACCAACAGCUAAGGUCCCAAAUUAUGAUUAAGUGGAAAACGAUGUGAAUAGACUUAUACAGCUAGGAGGUUGGCUUAGAAGCAGCCAUCCUUUAAAGAAAGCGUAAUAGCUCACUAGUCUAGUUUGUCUGCGCGGAAGAUUUACCGGGGCUAAAUCAUAAACCGAAGCUUUGGAUCAUCUUCGGAUGAUGGUAGGAGAGCGUUCUGUAAGCCUGUGAAGGUGAACCGAGAGGUUUGCUGGAGGUAUCAGAAGUGCGAAUGCUGACAUGAGUAACGAAUAAAGAGGUGAAAAACCUCUUCGCCGGAAGACUAAGGAUUCCUGUCCAACGCUUUUCGUGGCAGGGUUAGUCGGCCCCUAAGGCGUACCCGAAAGGGGAAGUCGAUGGGAAACAGGUUAAUAUUCCUGUACCAGUUGGAAGUGACGGAUCUAGUAAAUUGUAUGCACUUAUUGGAUUGUGCAUGCAGUGAAUAGGUUCCAAGAAAUAGCUCCAACAUAGACCGUACCAUAAACCGACACAGGUGGUCAGGUAGAGAAUACCGAGGCGGAUGAGAUAACUCUGGUGAAGGAACUAGGCAAAAUGUAACCGUAACUUCGGGAGAAGGUUAGCCAAUUAGAAGGCAACUUUUAAUUGGUCGAAGAUACCAGGUGGCUGCGACUGUUUACUAAAAACACAGCACUCUGCUAACACGAAAGUGGACGUAUAGGGUGUGACGCCUGCCCGGUGCCGGAAGGUUAAAUGAUGGGGUUAGCUUCGGCGAAGCUCUUGAUUGAAGCCCCGGUAAACGGCGGCCGUAACUAUAACGGUCCUAAGGUAGCGAAAUUCCUUGUCGGGUAAGUUCCGACCUGCACGAAUGGCGUAACGAUGGCCACACUGUCUCCACCAGAG
rnacentral:rRNA from 1 species